GUUAUUUGAAAAGCCCAAUCUGGCAACAGGUUCAAUUGUCUUUGAAAAAGCAGGUCCAUAUUGAAGCACAAGGGACAACUGGGCUCACAAGAAGCCCAUAACGCGUAUUGGACUAGCAAAAGGCAAUUGGCACAGCUAGGCUAAUGCCAAAGGCCUAAUUUCGUAAUUCAUCCCAAUUGGUUGAAACAAAUUACACUUCUUAACAAAGAUCUCAAGAUAGAAAAUAAAUGCUAGUAAUUCUUGCCAAUUCUACACAUAUGCAUAACACAUUUUUGAACCCAAAUCACAUUCGAUAAUAAAAUGCCAACCUGAAUGUUAUACGGCUCAAACACCAAUUAUUUCCUCUUUUAACAUAACAAAAUUCAAUUUUCAUCCGACACAAGCUUACAUGAUUUCAAAAGGACACAUCUAUUAGUAUGGAUUUAAACCUAUCCAACUCCGGAUUUUAAAGAAGAAAAUAAUGCUUACUGAUUUCAUCAAGAACCAAGUAGAACCCAAAAACUAUUUAAGAUUUGAAACUGCUGCUUUUCAAUAGAAUGUCUAACGGUAAAGGCUUCAGACUUUUGCCUCUGACAUUUACAAAACAAAUCGUAAACCUUGAAGUCAUUUGAAAACCAAAAUUAUGGCAAACAAACUCAUAGUGAAAUCGACAUAUGACCUACGAUCACUAUACAGCAUUAAAUUUUAUCCAUCUAAGUUAUGUCCAUAUUACGAUAAUCCAGAAUCAGAUAUAUGAUAAUAAAAGUCCAAACGGCAAAAUCUAAAGUCCAGCUAAGACAUACUUCACAAGUGUACUGGACUUACAUGCUAAAUAGGGACUUAAUACAACCCUUAGGAGGAUAUUAUCAAUUAGCGUAGGCGAAAAUGUAAGGAAUCAAACAGUAAAAGAACAUUGUAGUGCAUAAAAUAUGGCUAAAUUCUAAUCAAAUACGCUGAUGUUAUAUUUAAACUUCACAUUUCAAUUGCAUGUUUCAAAUCGAGCAUCACAUUCAAUAGGAUCCAGAAACAGGUACCUGGACGUCAGCAGAAAAAAAAAUGAAAAAGUUCAGUAGCAGAAACAAAACAGAUGAAUCAAUAGCUCCAAAUGCAGUAAGAUUCAACUCUUUUCGACUAUUUUUAAACAAGAAUGAAACAUAUGUCUUGAAAGGUUUCAAACUUAUGAAGAUAAAUAGCAAACCAAGCUAAUUUUUACCAAAGAAUGCAAGGGAUUUGCAGUAUUUAACUCAGCUAUAUUAAAGCUUUUUACUAUUGUAAUUCUUUGAAUUCUGCCGCACAAAGAAGGGAACAUACCCUCUUAUACAAAGCCGUUAGGAAAGCAUAGAUAUUUUCAAAUUUCAGCCAUUACUCUCUCUUCAAUUUGCAAAUUGUUCACUUUUACCCUAAAUUUUGGUACUGUUUGCUAGGUCAGUCCCUUUUGCCACCUUCAAGAAAAUCUCCCAAAACAGUUAUUCUCUUAUUUAAAAUUACUAAACUAACCUUCUAACCCUUGUUAUUUACCCUCAACAGAUCACAUGGCAACCCAAACCUGGACUUGAAAAACCCGAACUGACUCCUCUCUUUAGGCCUAUGUUGACAGAGCCCAAGUUCAAUUCAAAAUCAAAAACCCACAAAACUAUAGGCUAAUGGAGUUGCCAAAAACAAGAGUUCUUUUGAAAUGAAACAAACAAAAAGAGCAGAGAUUAAUUAAACCUAACCCAAGAAUUAAAAUAAGUAUAAACUAACGGGUUUUUAAAUUUAACAUGGAGAAUAAAAAAUUAAUUUGAAACGGAAGAGUAAUGAAGAAAAAGAAAAGGAGAAAACAGAAAAAUGGAAAGAAUGGGGAGAGAAGAGAACAAAGGCGGGGAAAUAAAUAAAAUAGGGAUACCUAAAAUAGACAAAUGUUUUGCUUGAUAGAACUCCAGCAACUCAAAUUUGACCAAAAAUUGGUAUUAACCGCAUGUUCUCUUGGAGAACAAAGGAAUAAUACUAGCUUUAGGCAUAAUCUUUAUUGAAAACUCGUAGACUUGGAGGUUUUUUCCUUUUAUUCUCUUUUUUUAGAUCCAAUAACUGGCCAGAUUUGGUGAUGAUUUUGGGAAUAUUAGUGUUUCAUGGGGUGUGGGGAUUGUGUUGUUGAAGUUAGGGGUUGAUUGGAGGUUUUUGCCGGCAGAAAUGGUAAAGGAUAUCAAAGGCGGCGCUAGGGGUUAACCAUUUGAGACGAAGAAGAUGAUCUUGAAGUAUAGUAGGGGAGAAAGUACUAGGUUAAUUGAUGGGGUAUUCGAACAGUUAUAAUGAGAAAGGGGGGGUAAUUUUGGCCGUUGGAUGAUGGCAAAUGAGAUGGGCUUG
rnacentral:lncRNA from 1 species